rnacentral:lncRNA from 1 species
CCCAAUCUCUCGUGUAUCCACAUCACUACCAUCUAUAAGGUACCACCAAAAUAAAUAUUUAACUAUCUAUUUCAUACAACCAACAGCUGAAUAGAGACGAGAGGACAACGGCCACCGGCUGCUAGAAGACUGAGGUUAGACAUCUUACCAUCCUUAGAAAGUUGAGGUUUAGGUUCAGACAUGACCUCGGCGACAAAAGCUCCUACUCUGUGGCAUCGAUGAUGGAUUCGUCUCUUGGGCGACCAUGACAUCGACUCCACGGGCAGCUCCGGCUUUGGAAGAGGCCGCAAUUAUAGCCCUUGAUAGUUGUCUAUUAUCUCCUAUGCAAAAUGAGGCCCUAUGGCAGUGGUAGUUCACUCUUAGGGGAAUUGAGAAUUUUUGGUUGGUUCCUCACAAAUCCGCUGCCCUUGGACCUGUCAGUGCCCUUGUGUGCGAUGACAAUGACCUUGAGAAUCUCGAUGAAGCACUCAAAGUGACCGUGCAUGCCCUCAAUUCUCGAACACCUUCACGCAAUCUACAAAAUUAAAGGCAUUUUACCCGGUGCAACGGCAAAGAGUAUAAUUUCUCUAUUUUUUUUGCAGGGUAUAAUUUCUCUACUUAAUAUGUUAGUUAUAUGCUCAUAGGUCUAAAGAUGAAUGUGGGCGGACUGGGGACAAGGGGUAGAAUCCCAUUUGCCUAUAAUUGGUGAGGCAGCGGAGCAUGAUCCCUCGCGGCGGACCGGGGAACCCGCCUCUCCCGUUCAACCUGGCCCUCCAUGGAGACAAGCAAGCAUCUACCCCAUGCAGGCCAUCCAUGAGGAUGGCAGCUCGGGUUGUGCCUAGGAACCAAUCGUGGGGAAACCAAACGGGGGAGUUAGCUUGUGAAAAUUAAAAAAAUCAUGUGACAACCCAAAUAUUUUUGCCAAGUUUACAGAAUCAAUAGAUAAAAUAUUUGUUUUAGACCCACAAAAUAGGCUUACUCUCACACGAACGCUCCAACAAAUUAUCACUAGAAAGUGAAAUAACUGAAAUAUGUGUUCUUUCAACCUUAAUAUUUUUAUCAUUUACAAAAUAUAAGAUGAUAAGUCAAUUGACAACCAGACAAUGCUUAGAACAUGUCAAGAAAAUUUAAGUCUUGGGUAAAAAUUAAGAUUGAUGAAAACAUAGACUUUAGAUUACAAUAUAAGUGAGAAAAUUACAUAAGUCUUAUCUCGUCCAAUGCUGCGUCCAACUUCCUUCUAUAAAACUGCAGCUUGGACCAGAUUUUCUGAGAGCAAAAUAUAACGGAAUAGAAAUGCUUUCUAGAGGCAAGAAAACUCAAGAAUCCACUUAGAAAGCUAUAUAUGUGGACUACAACUGCCAAUGUAAAUGAACCUAUCUAAAAAGUGAAAACUACCUUUUCUAAGACAGGAAAUCUCAAGAAUACAAAGGGGAACAAUGUGUUGCAUGUGUACAUAUCUAAGAAGAUGCUAUUUUCUACACCCGAUUGUGAGUUCCCUAUUAUAUGAUGAAAAAAAUUAGUAAGUUGAGGUGUGAAUGUUUGAAAUUAGUGCUUUCGUUACAAACAAAAACUGGAAAAAUUCAUUCUUCAAUAUUCAUUACCUGCAAUGCAUGUGUUGUUGAUGUCUCUAGGGAAGAAAAUUACUCUAGGCCGUCAGAGUCUACUAGCUCUAAAUUUUGUAUGGAACACAGAAAAUCAAAAGAAUUAGAUCAAGACUUCAGUUACUAAAUGGUAGUAAAAUUUGCAAAAGUAGUAGAAGAAUGUAGUUUAAUGUAACGUCAGUAGAAGAAUGCAAGAUAAAACAUUACUAGUUAUGUAAAGAGUUGAAGAUAAUCAUUGUGGGAACUACAUGUCGAUGUUUUCUAUGAUUACUUAGCAUUCAGAACUCGGGAGGCUUGGCAAUGAGCGGAAAGGCAAGCACCUCUCUGACAGUAGCAGUGAGUAUUGGACAUCAAGGCUGCCAAGCCCGGCUAGGUUCGUUUCAACGUGCAUCCAUGAACACGAGUGCCCACUCUACCAGCGUUGUUGAUGCCAAUGCCUGAUGCCGAUGGGGAUGAUUAAAAGAAGGAAGGAAAUGAGGAGUACAUGUGGGAAACAAAUUCAUACCUGGUCUAAACUGGUGAGCUACACAAUCUACAGUUGCAAGGUCGGACCGUCGGAGAAGGUCGACAGAUGAUAGUGAAGAGAGAUGUCGAAGGGAACAGGAGGGGUCGGGCAUGGGAGAGGCAGAAGUGGCACCGUCGAGGCAAAGGAGACACAAUGGAGCAGGGGGAGGCACCACGGCGGCAGUAGGGGAAACAGAUCGAUGGCUUGCGGCGCCAUGGAUCGAGCCCUCCUUCUAUGAUGGAUUGAGCAUGCAGGAUUCUGAAAUUAACAACUUAGGAGUAACAGAGUUACAAAGCAUGUGCGAGGACCUCAUUCUCAGGCCGGGAAUGGAGGUUGACGAGGAGGAGGAUGAGGAGGCUUUGGUCAGGGGUAUGUG